CCCAGACUCCUACGGGAGGCAGCAGUGGGGAAUAUUGCACAAUGGGGGAAACCCUGAUGCAGCGACGCCGCGUGAGCGAUGAAGUAUUUCGGUAUGUAAAGCUCUAUCAGCAGGGAAGAAAAUGACGGUACCUGAAGAAGAAGCCCCGGCUAACUACGUGCCAGCAGCCGCGGCAAUACGUAGGGGGCAAGCGUUAUCCGGAUUUACUGGGUGUAAAGGGGGCGCAGACGGCGAUGCAAGCCAGGAGUGAAAGCCCGGGGCCCAACCCCGGGACUGCUUUGGAAACUGCGUUGCUGGAGUGCAGGAGGGGUAAGCGGAAUUCCUAGUGUAGCGGUGAAAUGCGUAGAUAUUAGGAGGAACACCGGUGGCGAAGGCGGCUUACUGGACUGUAACUGACGUUGAGGCUCGAAGGCGUGGGGAGCAAACAGGAUUAGAUACCCUUGUAG
rnacentral:rRNA from 1 species